CCUACGGGAGGCUGCAGUGGGGGAUAUUGGACAAUGGGGGGAACCCUGAUCCAGCGACGCCGCGUGAGUGAAGAAGUAUUUCGGUAUGUAAAGCUCUGUCAGCAGGGAAGAAAGAAAUGACGGUACCUGACCAAGAAGCCCCGGCUAACUACGUGCCAGCAGCCGCGGUAAUACGGAGGGGGCAAGCGUUAUCCGGAAUUACUGGGUGUAAAGGGAGCGUAGACGGUUAAGUAAGUCAGGAGUGAAAGGCCGGGGCCCAACCCCGGGACUGCUCUGGAAACUGUUGAACGUGAGUGCAGGAGAGGUAAGCGGAAUUCGUAGUGUAGCGGUGAAAUGCGUAGAUAUUAGGAGGAACACCAGUGGCGAAGGCGGCUUACUGGACUGUAACUGACGUUGAGGCUCGAAAGCGUGGGGAGCAAACAGGAUUAGAUACCCGGGUAGUC
rnacentral:rRNA from 1 species